rnacentral:tRNA from 1 species
GCAGGGGUGCCCAAGCUUGGUUAAGGGGCAGGGCUUAGGACCCUGUGACGUAGGUCAUCGAGAGUUCAAAUCUCUCCCCCUGCA